GCUGGGCAUGGUGGUGCGUGCCUGUAAUCCCAGCUACUCGGAGGCUGAGGCAGGAGAAUUGCUUGAACCCGGGCGGCGGAGUUUGCAGUUAGCUGAGAUCAUGCCAUUGCACUCCAGCCUGGGUGACAGAGUAAGACUCUGUCUCAA
ensembl:misc_RNA Metazoa_SRP Metazoan signal recognition particle RNA